AAAAAAAGAGAAGUUUAAAGCCAAAAAAUUGGAAAAAGUAAAAACAGGAAAACUAAGAAUUUUUAAGUAGUUAUGGAAUCUUUCCAAAAGCCCAUGAAUUUAAUUUCUGGUGCAGAAGCUAGAUUUGAGGGUGAUAAAAUUACUGUAGACCGAGACCCAGCUUAGCCCAGGAGCUAGAAGGGAAAGAUAAAAAUCAGAUUAACAGCGUUUGCUACCAAAAAGACUUAAGUUACUUAAGUAGAAUAUUUCUGGAGUUAAAAAUGUGAGGGUCUUUAAAUAUGGUAGCUUUUAGUGUUCUUGGAGAAUUUAAAGAACUUUCAUAACUGAAGUAAUGCAAGAUCAAGAAUAACUACCAACUUAACAUUCUCCCAUUGGACUUUGAGCUAAGAUGGUUUUUUAAAUCCUGAGGACUAGCGUUAAUUGGCAGCAGACCCAGGUACUACGCAGAAGUGGAUUCAGUGAAUCUAGGAAGACAGGAGCGGCAGACAGGAUUCCAGGAGCCAGUGUCGGUGAAGCUAGGACUGAGGAGCGAGCUGCAGUUCGUGGUGAAGAUAGGAAGGAAGGCGAAGUCCGGGAGCCAGUGCUGUUUGGUGAAGGAAGGAAGCUAGGAAGAAAGAAGGAGCCCUAACGAUUUGGAGGUGAAGCUAGGAGAGGAUUCCAGAAAGGAGGAGCCAGUGCGAUGUGGUGAUGAAGCUAGCGAGCAGCUUGGCAGCUUGGCUUGAGCAGCAUCCCAGUGUGCGAGGCCCCAGGGAGGACGAGUGGUGUGGUAAAAAUACCAGAGAUGGGCUAACGUGGUUUUUGUAACUUCAGUAUGGUAACGUUAAUUUGCUUUUCUAAUGGUAACGGGGGAAUUGUGGUACUUAAGCGCUAAGGGAUUUAUGGGGGUGUAGGCCGAUUUCCGGGUGUCGUAGGUUUCUCUUUUUCAGGCUUGUUUUCUCAUCUUGUCUGAAGCUUUUGAGGGCAGACUUCCAAGGCCUGGAGGAAUGGUAGAUGGCAAGUUUUUUUGUUUUGUUUUUAACCAAUUUGAGGGAAACCAAAUGAAUUUGGUAGAUCAACCUUGAGACCAAAUUCUGGCAAGUUUUGUAAGAAGUUUUUAGCUUGGGGUAAUGAAGCCUUUCAGUUUUUUGAAUAGAUGACCUUAUUCUUCCUUCACCCUGCAUUCAAGUUUUCUAAAUGUGGAGUUUGGCUGUGUAUGGGGGGGAGAGUUUUUUGUGGGGAUGGGGGCGCAAAAAUAUGUUUUGAGUUCUUUUCCCCUUAGGUCUGUCUAGAGUCCCAAAGGCAAAUGACUCAAGGUAACAGGAAAAAAGAAAAUCCAGUAUCAGGAUAAUCAGAACACCACAGGUUUACAGUUCUAGAAACUAGAGCACGAGCAGCUCUCACUUUUGAGUUCUGUGGCGGAGCUGUCCAUUGGAGAAAUGGCUGGUAGUUCUUGUUUUUCCAUUUAUUCAUCAGAUAUUUUAAUACAUAACCCUUUAAAUUCGUUACAUUUACUUAACUUUGGGGUGGUCUUAACAGGGAAGAGGGUUGGGGGAGAAAUUUUUCUUUCUAAGAUUUUCCACAGAUGCUAUAGUACUAUUGACAAACUGGGUUAGAGAAGGAUUGUACUGCUAUGCUGUUGGCACGAACACCUUCAGGGAUUGGAGCUGCUUUUUUCCUUGGAAGAGUAUUCCCAGUUGAAGCUGAAAUGGUACAGCACAGUGCAGCUUUGGUUCAUACUCAGUCUUCUCAGGAGCACUUCAGAAGAGCUUGACUAGGCCAGAUGUUGAAGUUAAGUUUUCAAGUAAUGUGAUCUUUAACUUUUAUUAAAGGGGAGGGGCAAAUUUUGGCAAUUGAUAGUUGGCAGUGGCCUGUUAAUGGUUGGGAUUGGGGAGGGUUGGGGGUUAGGUAAUUGUUUAGUUUAUGAUUUCAGAUAACUCAUGCCCGAGAACUUAAAUACUUAGGAUGGAAAAACUAAAGAAAUCUCAACUUCCAAGUUGGCAAGUAACUCCCAAUCCUCUAGUUUUUGUUUUCCCCCAAUUUUUGAAUUGGGCAGCUGGGGAAGUUCAUGAAGAUCCACUGGAUUCAUAGUGUAAGGCCUGGGGAAGGAAAGUAUAAGGACUGGGGGUUGGUCUAGCCCACUGGCUGACUUAGAUAUCAUCUUGGGAAUUUUUUUAAAAAUGGCUAAAGUUGUUUGGAUAUGGUAGUGUGUGGUUCUCUUUUGGAAUUUUUUUCAGGUGAUUUAAUAUAACUUAAUACUACUAUAGGAGCUUCAGAGCAAAGGAAGUGGCUUAAUGAUCCUGAAGGGAUUUCUUCCUGGUGGUAGCUUUUAUAUUAUCAAGUAAGAUUCUAUUUUCAGUUGUGUAUAAGCAAAUUUCUUUUCUCUAGUGUAGGAAAAGUAUUUUUCCAUUAACUGCAAACAAGAUGUUAAGGUAUGCUUCAAAAUUACUGUAAAUUGUAUAUUUUAAUCCUUUCUGAUAAAAAAGGGGGUGGGGUGUUGUGGAUGAGGGCGGGGAAACCUUUUUUUUUUCUGUAGACUUUUUUCAGAUAACUUCUGAGUCAUAACCAGCCUGGCAAAUACGAUGACCUAGAUGGAGAGGGAACAGCAUCUUGGUGAAUGAUGAUAAGUAAAGGCAGAAAAGAUUAUGUUUCAUACCUCCAUUGGGGAAAAAAGCAUAACCCUGAGAUCCUUAACUACUGAUGAACGCAUUAUCUGCAUAUGCAAAAAAAAUUAAGCAAGUGAAACUACCAAUUUAAAGUUAAUGGAAUCUACCAUUUAAAAGUUAUGGCCUAUCAAGCUAUACCCACACCCACAAAAA
rnacentral:lncRNA from 1 species